rnacentral:tRNA from 1 species
GCUUCGAUAGCACAGUAGAUUGAGUGUUCACCUGCUGGGCAAAAGGUUGCUGGUUCAAUUCCAGCCAGGGGCA